GGACGCUUAGCUCAGCUGGGGGAGAGCAUCUGCCUUACAAGCAGAGGGUCGGCGGUUCGAUCCCGUCAGCGUCCACCA
rnacentral:tRNA from 1 species